GGAAAAGGAAUUCUUCUGGACAGGAACCGAAGUCGGAAUGAUGGAGAGUUCUUUCUUCUAUGGCUACGCUGCCUCUCAAAUUCCGGCCGGUGUGAUCGCCGCCAAAUUCGCGCCCAACAAACUCUUCAUGCUCGGAAUCCUCUUCGCCUCCCUGCUCAACAUAGUCACCGCAAUCUGCCUGAACUUUCACCCGUUCACCGAUAUCUUCGUGAUGGUCAUACAGGUUAUGCAGGGACUCGCCCUUGGAGUAUGCUAUCCAGCAAUGCACGGAGUCUGGAAGUACUGGGCUCCACCACUCGAGAGAUCCAAACUCGCCACGACUACAUUCACCGGAGCCUCAGUCGGUGUGAUGGUUGGACUGCCCGCGUCUGCGUACCUUGUCUCUCAUUUCAGUUGGAGCACACCGUUCUAUGUAUUUGGAGCACUGGGAAUUGUGUGGUCGAUUUUAUGGAUUUACGUGUCGGGUACAAGUCCGGAAACUCAUGGGUAUAUAAGUGCAGAUGAGAAAAAGUAUAUCACGGAGAAAGUUGGAUCGGUAGCUGUGAAGAAUAUGACGGUGAGUGUCUAGUUCCAGAGAGAUGUCUGCUGCAAAGAUGUGAGCGACCGACCCGGGAGAUGUCAGCUGUUCUUUCUUAAUUCCGAAGCGCCCCUGAAAAAUCAUAUUUUCAGCUUACCACUCUUCCAUGGCGUGACAUGAUGACAUCCACCGCUGUAUGGGCAAUCAUUAUCUGCUCCUUCUGUCGCUCGUGGAGCUUCUUCUUGCUCCUCGGAAACCAGCUGACCUACAUGAAAGACGUCUUGCAUAUUGACAUCAAAAACGUGAGUUAUUAUUUAGCAUGGCGGCCGACAUAUUAGGGGUCUUUACAUAAAUCUAAAAUUUUCAGAGUGGUCUCAUCGCGAUCUUCCCGCAACUUGGAAUGUGCAUUGUCACACUUACCAGUGGUCAACUAUCCGAUUACCUAAGAUCUUCUGGAAAAAUGAGCACAGAAGCCGUCAGAAAAUCCGUGAACACUUUUGGAUUCACAGUUGAAGCAGUGAUGCUAGGAUGUCUGGCGUUUGUUCGGGAUCCUGUGAUUGCAGUGACUUUCUUGAUCAUUGCUUGCUCGGGAGCCGGAGCCGUUCUUUCUGGAUUCAAUGUGAACCACUUUGAUAUUGCUCCAAGACAUGCUCCAAUCCUUAUGGGAAUUGCAAAUGGACUCGGAGCCAUCGCAGGCGUUGGUGGAAUCGUCACAAAUUCGUUGACAUAUCAGGUGAGUCAUCCAAAUUGAUUUAUAGUUUGAGUACUUGGUUUUUCGGUUCUUUAGAUUAGGUUUCUAGACAAUAAAAUUUUAAUUGUGUGGGGGAGAGAUCAGAGAAAAAUGGCUAAGAUUCACCGAAAAACUGGGCAUUCGGGGAAAGAGAAGAGGAGAUGAUUUAUAGUUUGAUUGCCCCAUCGCACGUUGUCUCUUGAAAUGCCCAUGAAAUGUCGGCUGCUUAAACUAGCCGGUAAACUGAGAACCAGACGUCUUUAAAAAUCUGAAUGCGGUCGCGGUAAUCUCUGACGUCACAGCUCAUGCUUUAUCUUAGCUUUUUCAUGCUUAGGCUUUUGAUUAGACUUAGGCUUUCACAGCAGGCUUAGGCUUUGGCUUUAGUGCAGGUUCAGUCUUGACGCGCUAUCACCUGCUAAUGGCCGAGUUUUUCCUCUUCCAUCCCUCUCCUAAUCUUGACUAUCUUUUUACAGAAUCCUGAUGGCUGGCAAUGGGUUUUCCUUCUAGCCAUGUCAAUCGAUAUCUUUGGAAUAAUUUUCUUCCUCAUUUUCGCGAAAGGAGAUGUUUUGGUAAGAUUCUUUGGAAUAUCCUAUAAAAUUUUGAAUAUUGUUUCAGCCGUGGGCUCGCGAACCGGAGAAGGAGGAGACGUUCAACGAAUUUGUGCGACGAAUGUGUACGUUGCUUGAAACGAACUUUUUGAUGAAUAAACCCACUUUUGUUUUUUACUUUUUUACUAACAAUUUUCAUUGUUUUGUGUGUGUCAUUUGGUUUCUUAAGUUCGUACUUGGUUUCGUGAAAAUUUCCAAAGCGCAUUAAAUAUUUUCAGCCACAAUGGUGAGAAGCUUGUCAAGGCGAACAAGGACACGCAGUACUGAUACGAAUUAUGAUAAGUGAGUUUUAAAAAAAGUUAAAUGACUUUUCAGUAGUAAAGUAGCUGAAGCUAUUAAAGCUGAAAAAUCCAGCGAAUCUACUUCUCCGCUAUUUAAUUUUGCCGACACUUCCAACCCGUGAAAUGUCGGCUAAAUUUUUCCGCGAAUCAGGAAAAUAUGGCUUGAACUUCCUGAAAUUUUUACUUUUGUAGCAUAAGAUUCGUGAAAAUUAAUUUGAGAAUUAUCUUCCUAGAUUAAAUACAAAUUACAAUUUUUCACAAACGAAACCUACACUGAACACCAAGCACAUGAUUUUUCCUAAAUCGGAAUCCUCGGACUCAUAAUUUCACAAAUCCAGAUUCUCAUGAGAGCAUGCCUCUAAACCUCGAAAUUUUCAGAAUGGAGGAAGAAAGAGUCAACUCUUCGGAAAUGAAGGCUUGUGCCAAAUCCGAUGUUCCAGUACCAGAAGAAGGUGUUCUGAACGAGACGCAAGCCAUCGGUGGAAGCCUCGAAGUUGUGCCUGAAGAGCCAGCAAAUAAGAAUUUGAGAACGGAUAGGCCUGAAGUUUAAAAAAUUCACACACAUUUUUCAUAUUUAUGCAUAUUGUCCAAAUUCCCUAUACUGAUCUCAAUGUCCUUUACCAUUUCUCCCGACUGACGGCCAUGUCGUCGUAGUUCCUUGACAAACAUGCAAUUCCGAUCACUUUAAAGGCGCAUAGGGAGGAAUUUUGUGUCUAACCCGGCAGAUGUCGGAUGUUUAUUUUCAUCCUCUCCUGCUUGAACUUGAAACUUUUUCAAAUGUCUGUAGUCAUUUUAAUGUGUUCUUUCUGUCUUUUUUCAAACUAGUCACGUUUUAUGCUCUUACCAAUCAAUACGACUCACUCGAUUUUUAUAAAUUUGUUUUGAAUUUCGCCCGAAUUUUCAGAUUUCAAGCGCCCGUCAAGUGUCGGUCGUUUUAACAACAUUUGUUCACAUAAUGGUUGGUUUUUUUUCAGUAUUAUAACUAACGUUCAGUAUUAUAACUGAAAAUUCCCGGAACAGUACUAACAUUUUAGAAAUUAGGAUCUUAGAAAUCUAGGACCCCGGUGAGCUGGAAGCCCAAGCCUAUGAAUUUAGGAACUUUAGUUUUGGGGUAGUAGGAAAAAGGUUCGUUCUAUCUAAAAAAAUAACAUUUAUUCCUGUUGAAAAGUUUUUAAAAGUCCACAAAUAGUCCCUAAAAGUUGUAAUUUGCCGAAAAAAACAAUGAUGCACGGCUCUGCUCGGCACCAACGAGAAAUUAUUUUUGUGUGAUGGAGCUUCGAAUCGACAUUGCCAAAACUAAAAAAAACGACAUUGCCAGAAAAAAACCUUUAUUCAAUCAAGGAAGCACAAUGCAUAAUUAGAAUACCUAUAGUUCACAAACAUUGUCCAACAAUCUUCCGAACGGCUCGUUGUAGCCAAUCUUCACGCCUUGUGAACUUGGGAACUUGACAACCACAUUGCUCGACUUUCCUGGCUCAAGCUGAAUCGUGUAGUUGACAACUCUUUCCGGCGUGAUGGUCGCACCGACCGUCGGCUGCACACUUGCCUCGUCGACUUCCAUGGCCUCUGGGCAGUUGAGAAUAACCUGGAAAAUGGGAUUUUUAAACAAAAAAUUUUACAAUUUUUUUAAACGAAAUACAAAAAAGACAAAAAAUGUUUUACCUUGAUUCUCGAAUCCGUUGAUCUGGGCAGCUGCUCACGAAUCGUCAGAAGCACCGAAUUUGGACGAAGAUUGGUGACGACAGUGGCCUUCUCGGUGACCAGAGAGGUGACCUUCUUGUUGUGCUCCUGGUAGUUUCUCUCAGGCUUGUACUGGAUACAGAUGUUCGGGUCUACACCCAGCGAAAUCUCAAACUUCUGUGAAGCAACCACGUCUCCAAACUCCUUCUUGUUCAAAAAUUCACCGUCGAGGAAGAUCGAUGCCUGACCGGCGACGAGAUGAUAAACCGAGGUGUUCACCGAGUUGGCAGCGAGAAACGCAGCGGCAUCCAAUGAUGGGACGGCCACGUUGGAGAGCUUUGUGUCGACAGUGAAUUCUCCGAUGUUCACUUUAUGAAGUAUUGCCAACCAUUUGAUUAGAACAAAACAAAGAACUCAUUGUCAUAAAAAUACUCGAUAAAAGUCGGCGAGAUUUCGUUGAAAAUAAACGCAUUUUUCACUGAUUUUUGAACUUCCCGCAAAACUAAAUCAUGAACUCACCGAAAUACUGAACUUCUUAGGUUUAAUAAUUCACAGAUCUUUAUGAAAUAAUAUUUCCUAUUGAGCACUUAGCUUGAGCACCUAGCUUCAGAUUGUUUCUUCGGGGACUUGUUUCAAAUUUUAAACUCUUUUUAAUUAUAUAACGAAUUUUUUUAAAGUUCUAGAAGCUUCCAGUUGAAUCAAAAAACUGAAUUUUGAGGCAAGUUUUCGUCUAACAUUUUUCAAUUUUUGUCUAACAUUUUUCAUUACGAAAUUGCCAAUAUGUGUUAUCAAAAAGGCAACAGCUUGUGUCCAUUAAUCAUUGUAGCCUGCGCAUCCUACACUCCUCCCCUAUCGGCCCCCGAAAACUUGGCGUUUACCAAUCUUCUAUCAGAGAAUAUUUUCCAUACGUCUUUACUAACUACCUUAUUUUUUAACAAAUUUAAUUUCAUGCCGAACGGAUCCAUUAGAAACUGCGCAAAUGCGGUAGCAGAUACCGUUCGCCAAACGUUCUCCAGAAAGACUUGGGAGCAUAAGGAACAGCUUCAAACUAUUACUGAACAGGUUAGUUCAAGAAUUUGAUUUUUUUUUAAAUUUUAGUGAGAAAUUUGGAUUUCAGAAAAAAUUCUUCCUGCGAAAAGUGCGAUGGCAAAUUGCUAUUCUAGCUCAUUUCGGAUUCGCGAUUUCAUUUGGAAUACGGUCGAAUUUCGGUGUCGCCAAGAAUCGGAUGGUCAAUAAUUUUACAGAUGCAUAUGGAGAAGUUCAU
rnacentral:sRNA from 1 species